GCGGCGGCUCCCCUCGCCCGUCCCCAUCCGCGAGGAGGUUCGGGCGGGGGCAGGCGGGCGGCGGGGCGGUCACUGCCGCCCGGAGAAGGACGCCCGGAGACCGGGGGCUGCGCGCCCCCCCGCCACCGCCGCCGCGCGGACAACCGGAGGCGGCCGCCCGCUGCUCGCCCCGCGGCGACGGGCGGGUGCCAUAGCAGCGGGGCCGGGGGCAGGGGGCGUGGGCGGGCGGCGGCCACGAGAAACUUUGCCGGCCCCGAGGAGGGGUGCUCGGCCGCCCUUCGCCGGUCCCCGCCGCAAAGUUUCACUCCCAAAACCGCCGGCUGCGGAUCCGACUCCUCGGGGACGGCUCCUCCAUCUCCCGCCGCUCCUCCCGGGACGAGGAAGAGGGAGAAAGGGACAGGCAGCACGCGGUGGGACGGCGGCGGGACUGAGUCAGAACUUUCCCUUCUCCCCUCGGAAGCUCGGCGCGGCCGACCCCCAAGAGCCGCCUCCCCUCCUCCCAGCGCCGCUCUGCCGCCCGCCCCACCGGGCGCGAGCUUUGUAGGGCGUCCGGUUCCGCCCCGGCGGGCUGCGGGGCCGCGGCCGCGAGGGAGGAGGAGCUGGGCGGGGGCUCGAAAGUCGGGGCCGGGAGGUUCGCCGUGUUCGGGUGGGAGCGGGCCUGGGACAAUUUGGCUACCGGCUGCUCGCACCUCGCUGUCAAGUGAAGUACAGCCAGCGGAUGGGAUCGGCGAGGGAAGGGCUCCUGUUUGCACGGGAUUUUACCCAACGUGUACGUCGGGUGUAGCUCGUGGGGAAAAAAAGGAAAAGAAUAAAACCAACAAACCUGCACCUGCUGUCGCUGGUUUUCUUUGAUUUUCGAAAACUGACUAGAUCUCAAAGCUGCCGUUGCUUUUCAUACCAUUAUUCUACUCAGUGCUUCUCCUUUAGGAGAAGACAAAAUGUUGAACUCAGAAUCUGCAUAUCUGAAUGUACCUGAGGCUUGAGAUGGGCAGUGAUCUGUCCACCGUGCUGUAGGACCUCACACCUCUGGUGCAGAGAGAGUGAUGGGUUCUCAGAGGUCACAUGAUGACUGUCCCCCUGCUUGAUGGCUACAUCAAUGACAGCCCCAGCUCUCACCCAGCCCUAGCAGGGAGACAUCCAGCUCAGGACUAGCAAAGGGCAGAGAAGCAUUCAGCAGAAGCUGGAAGUAUCACAUUUCCAGCUUCAGCAUCUUUUGAUUUGAGAAGGAAAGAACAGCUUACAAGUAUCAGGUUUCUGCUUGUUUGCUGAGAACCGUACUUUGGUUUGCCUGUCACAGAGCACAUUGUGUUUGAUGCCAGCAAGGGAAGGGACA
rnacentral:lncRNA from 1 species